GUUUAUGUAGAGGACAGGAGCUUCUUCAGGGUCCUAUACAGUACACACAGUGUCCCAAAUGGAGCCGCCCUCACCUGGUGUCCAAAGGAGCAGCUAACCCUGGCACAGAUGCAAUAUCCAUGUGGGGAGAAAGUCUCCAUGGCUGCCACGUUAGAUGUCCUAUAACAGAGCCAACAUGUUUGAGAAUUCUGCACAAUGAGGGGAAAAUCUAGAAUAUCAGUGACCCAGAGACACCGGGAGUUAGAGAACUGUUGCCUACAUGAUUAGUAUUGAAUUCUACUCCUGGUUCAGUAAAUUCUCCAAAUCAGACUCUAAUUGCCUCUUAUAUUGUUCUUCCAAGCAAUACAAACACA